GGAUUAUUGGGAUGUUUUUAUCAGACUCUCAUUCUGACGGCACCCAUUCACUGCAGAGCAUCCACUGAUGAGACACUGAUGCAGUGCUACAUUUCUACAAACCUGAUGAAGACACAAAUUCAUCCUGAUCUCAUCCUGAGCUGGGAAUGAAUCAGUCGGCUGUCUCAAAGCGGCUUAACCAGAAUAUUGACUGAAAGAAGCUGUUGAUUGUCUCCAAGACGGACGUGUCUCUUCAUGAAGGAUUUCCCACAGGCAGCGCUACGAAAACACAGAAACACACAAUCACUCACUGAAGCAUGAAGACAAAGCACUGCUCCAUCACAAGUGCUUCUGUAUGUUUGAAGGGGAAAUACACAGCACAGGAAGCACUGGAUAUCAUUCAACCUAUCUUACAGGAAAAAUAUACUAUUUUAAUAAUGAUAAUAAUAAUGCAUUUAUUUUAUUUAGCACCUUUAAAAGUGGGACCUUCUCAAAGUGCUUACAGAAAAACAACAGCAAAUAAAUAAAUCCAAUCAAGAACACACAAACGCAAGGAAAAGGUCAAAAACUAAAGGUGUGAUGUAAAAGGGAUUUUAAAAGGUGGUGAUUUUGAAUGAAUUCAUACACUGUUAAAUAAAAAUGCAUGGCUUGUAUUUUAUUCUGUUGCUGUUACUGGCUGCAGAGUUUAACACAGUUAAAGUGACUUACAUUUUAGGUUCCUCUGAAAGUAAUGGAGGUCAAAACAUUAAAGUGGAGAUGCUGAGGGAAUGUGAAGCGUGUCUUCAGAGACCAACAAACACUUCCAUCCUGACCUGAUCUGGCAAUAUAACAAUCUGUUAUAGUGUGGUGACAUUGAUUUCUGUGCUGAGCUUUAAAUCUGUAUUAAAGUCUUGCCUCGAUAUCAGGUGUUGAAUGUUAGCGUCAGUGUUGAGAUUAACACUCUGCGUUCAGACAAAGACACU